ensembl:lncRNA
AGGCAAUUAACAUGCGAAGAUGAGGUGUUCCAGGUGUAAAAAGUUUGUUAAAAAUACUGCAAAGUUCUGCAGUGAGUGUGGACAACGCCUCACUACCCAACCUGUGAACCAGACAAAUGUUGCAGAGGGGGAUUCUCUCUCAAAUACCUCAGAAUCAGAGCCUUCUCUGCCCUUGGAUGGCCUUGAGUCUAAUGACUCCCCCCAACAGCUUGUCUAUUCGGGGGAAGGCGCCACUGGGGACAUCACGAAGCAAGUAUGUACAUGUUUUUUUCAUUUAAUAUGUAUUUGCAUUAUCAGUUUGCAUUUAUUCCAUAUCGCUCUUAUGUUUAGUAGUCAUUAUAGUCCCCAUGUAUGGUCUGGUAAUGGUCUGAAAUAGUCCUGUGUAUAUAUUAGGGAUGCAGUUAAUGAUUUUUAAAGGUCCCAUGACAUGCUACUUUAUGGUUGCUUUAAUAUACCGUAUUUUCCGCACUAUAAGGCGCACCGGAGUAUAAGCCUCAGCAGCUGAAUUGAAUGAUGUGUACAUAUAUAAGCCGCGCUGGAGCCCACCGCUUAAAGGUGGGGGGGCGUGGACCGGUCGUAGAGCCCAUAGAGUUAAAGUUGGUGGACUGUAACCUGUAAAGGUCCCCUAUUGGCCGUUAGCUCUAAAAAUCCAUAGAUUACUCCGCACUGUUAUAUAAGCCGCAGAAUCGACAAAUAGGAAAAAAGGCGCGGCUUAUAGUCCGAAAAUUACGGUAGAUAUUAGUAGGCCCCAAACACAGUAUUUGAAGAGGUUCCAGAAAUUCAGCCAUGGUGCAGAAUUACAGCCACUACGAGCCAGUCACACAUUGAGCUUUCCCCAAAUGCGACGUUUCGAUGUCUGUAGAUUUAAUGCAAAUGAGGAGGAGAGAGGCGGGUCAAGGAGGUGGUUGGGGGUGUGGCCCUGAGCAGCUUGCAGCCACGGUACCAUGCGCUCUGUUUACAGUGGAUGUAUCGCAGUGGUGAGGCGCACACAGUCCUGGAGCUCUAUAUCUAAAUAAUAUCAUAUAAUGCAUAUUAUCACGGCCAAAAGCUGUGUGUGCCUCCAUACGAUAUUAUGAAUCUCAAACGACUUCGUCGGGUUCUCCGACGUCUCUGGUUCUUCCACUUCCACAUCAAUCUGAAGUAGGCUGAACCGCUCGUUGCCUGCUGCCGGCUGCCCGCUGACGGGCGGUGGUGCUUCGCGGCGGUGGUGACUGGCGGCAACCGGCGGCAGGCAGCAUGUCGCACUUCAUGUACUUCAGGGAGUCAAAGCCAAAGUUCCUUUCCCCCAAUUCCUUCUCACCCAUGGCUGAGAUAACCCCAACUACAGUCUCGUUGUGGAAAUACAAGAGACAUCAAAGAACCAACGUUUUAUGCCCCAUAACACCAACAGCAAAAACUUGCGUUACAGUGCGUGUAAUCACACACACACGCACAUGUGGCGCUCGCAAGGUCGGGUCUCAUUGGCGGGCCAGAUUCUCUGGGCGGGCAAGGCAGAGAAAGGGGAGGAGCUUAGAUCCUUUAUGAAGACAUAUGGGACCACAUUCCAAAUCGGCGCGCUUGAGCCUCCGUUUUUUUCAAAGGCGAGCAGAACACCUAUUGCUCGUUUUACAGGCAGGCUAGGGGAAUUCAUAUUUAUGUUAGAAAACGUCAUAAAGUGAGAUUUUCAUGCCAUGGGACCUUUAAUAUGCUACAGAUUAUUCCAUUGAGUAGUCAUGUAAGAAAUGUUCUGGCUUCAUUAAAGAGCAAUAUUCCUUGCGCAAAAUGUAGCUUCUUUCAGCUAGAAAUUAUCUCUAAGCCGUCAAGUCCAGGCUUCUCCAGGUCACAUGUACACAGCGUAAGCGCUUUGUGCAACUAUAAUAAUCAUUUGUGUGAAACAACAAAGUGCGCUGCUUAUAUUUAUGGAUUAAAUUAGGCUCUGAUGCGAAGAAUAUGAAUGAUUUACAGUUAUAGAGUUUCUCAAGGAAUCAUUAACUAGUGUGUGUGUAAUGUGUGUGUGUAUAUAUAUAUAUAUAUAUAUAUAUAUAUUAGUGCAGUCAAGCGAUUAAAAUAUUUAAUCGCAUUAAUGUCAUAGUUAACUCACGAUAAAAAGUGUUCUAUGCUAAAUAUCCCUUGAUUUCUUUGUUCCAUUAAUUUUUCUCAUUUGAAUGCUCUUAUCAACAUGGAGAAGUGCAUCGGCUUGCCUUGUGCAAAUGUUUUUUUAUUGAUAACAACAUUGGCAUACACUGAUCAAACAGGACGAUAAAAAAUAAAUGCCUAUAGUGCAAUUAAACGAUGAACAUACAAACAUACUGCCUUGAACAUAGCAGUCAGGCUAAUGCUUCUUUGUUUUGAGCCAAAGAGAAAAACGCGUUUGCGUUAACGCCGUUAAUAACGCUGACAGCACUAAUAUUUAUAUAUGUGUAUAUAUAUAUACAUAUAUAUAGUCCCAUAUGUGUUAUUGUGAGUGUAUGCAUGCUAAAGUUAUGUUACAUGCUGUUCUUGAUAGAAAAAGAAGAAGAAAAGGGGCA